ensembl:snRNA U5 U5 spliceosomal RNA
CGACUCUGGUUUCUCUUCAUUACGCACAAGCCUUUCGCCUUUUACUAAAGACUUCCGUGGAGAGGAACACUUACGAGUUCAACAUAUUUUUGGAAGGGCUUUGCUUCUGGCAGAGCC